rnacentral:rRNA from 1 species
GCGUGAGUGAAGAAGGCCUUAGGGUUGUAAAGCUCUUUCAGCGGGGAAGAUAAUGACGGUACCCGCAGAAGAAGCCCCGGCUAACUCCGUGCCAGCAGCCGCGGUAAGACGGAGGGGGCUAGCGUUGUUCGGAAUUACUGGGCGUAAAGCGCGCGUAGGCGGUUCGCCAAGUUGGGCGUGAAAGCCCGGGGCUCAACCCCGGAACUGCGUUCAAAACUGGUGGACUAGAGACCGGGAGAGGAGAGCGGAAUUCCCAGUGUAGAGGUGAAAUUCGU